GAUGAACGCUGGCGGCGUGCCUAAUACAUGCAAGUCGAGCGAUUGGAUUAAGAGCUUGCUCUUAUGAAGUUAGCGGCGGACGGGUGAGUAACACGUGGGUAACCUGCCCAUAAGACUGGGAUAACUCCGGGAAACCGGGGCUAAUACCGGAUAACAUUUUGAACCGCAUGGUUCGAACUUGAAAGGCGGCUUCGGCUGUCACUUAUGGAUGGACCCGCGUCGCAUUAGCUAGUUGGUGAGGUAACGGCUCACCAAGGCAACGAUGCGUAGCCGACCUGGGAGGGUGAUCGGCCACACUGGGACUGAGACACGGCCCAGACUCCUACGGGAGGCAGCAGUAGGGAAUCUUCCGCAAUGGACGAAAGUCUGACGGAGCAACGCCGCGUGAGUGAUGAAGGCUUUCGGGUCGUAAAACUCUGUUGUUAGGGAAGAACAAGUGCUAGUUGAAUAAGCUGGCACCUUGACGGUACCUAACCAGAAAGCCACGGCUAACUACGUGCCAGCCGCCGCUGUAA
rnacentral:rRNA from 1 species